UACGUAGGGGGCAAGCGUUGUCCGGAAUCAUUGGGCGUAAAGCGCGUGUAGGCGGCUCGAUAAGUCUGCUGUGAAAGUCCAGGGCUCAACCCUGGGAUGCCGGUGGAUACUGUCGAGCUCGAGUCCGGAAGAGGCGAGUGGAAUUCCUGGUGUAGCGGUGGAAUGCGCAGAUAUCAGGAGGAACACCAAUAGCGAAGGCAGCUCGCUGGGACGUUACUGACACUAAGGCGCGACAGCAUGGGGAGCGAACGGG
rnacentral:rRNA from 1 species